rnacentral:misc_RNA from 1 species
GAUGAAGAACGUAGCGAAAUGCGAUAAGUAAUGCGAAUUGCAGAAUUCCGUGAGUCAUCGAAUCUUUGAACGCACAUUGCGCCCCUUGGUAUUCCAUGGGGCAUGCCUGUUCGAGCGUCAUUUGUACCUUCAAGCUCUGCUUGGUGUUGGGUGUUUGUCUCGCCUCUGCGUGUAGACUCGCCUCAAAACAAUUGGCAGCCGGCGUAUUGAUUUCGGAGCGCAGUACAUCUCGCGCUUUGCACUCAUAACGACGACGUCCAAAAGUACAUUUUUACACUCUUGACCUCGGAUCAGGUAGGGAUACCCGCUGAACUUAAGCAUAUCAAUAAGCGGAGGA